GGAGGCACAGAAAAUAUCAUGCAGUAGAAACAUCACUGUUUCGCAGCUAGUGAUGUUUUGUCUGUUAGUAUCUAGUACUAAAUCCUGAGAAAUCAAGCUUGGAAAUCUCCUUUUCAUUAGAGAAUUUUGUUCUGUCUAUGCGCGAACUUGGGCUUCCAACUUUACUCAGCCAGGAUUUCAUUGCAUUUACUUUAUCUUCUGGGCCCUGAACUUGGCCCGUCACUGUUCCUUGGCUGGUAUUUUUAACCCAGCCAACCACUCCUAAUUUCCUAGCUUCCUCUUCUGUGUACAUCCUGAAACAAACACCUUGCACUCGUCCGAACACUUCGUAAUCCACCGACUUGAGCGAGCCGGAGGCCUUCGUCAACGCAGACAUGGCGGCCGUGCCGGCGCAAGGCCGCUGCCGUGCAGCAAGCGCUCUGCGGGCCGAAACCGAGCCGGGCUGCCGCCGCGUCCCCUCAGCGAGCGGCGCGCGGACGGCAGCGCGCGAGGCUCAAGCUUCCGGAGCGCGGCCGCCUGACGCCGAGGCGCUGCGCGGGCGGUGCCCCGUGUGGCUUUCACAGUGGGGUCUACACCGACCGCUGAGACGCGGCACGCAUCUGAUGUGUGCGAGCUGAGGGAAACUUGGCGACCUCUUGCCGAGAGGUGGUUGAGUGACUGCCAUAGAAAUCAAAUCGUUGUUCUCAUGGCUCUCCCGCUAUAGGCAGCACCCCUCCCCCCCCCCACUCCCCCAGAGUAGAGCACCACAACCUGAGUUGUUUACGUGUUUUGGUGUAAAGACUACAGGGAAAUUGCAAGUAGAUCAGCGCUCAAGAAAGUGCUUUUCCAAGAUGUCUCAGGUAGCUGCAGAAACAAGCGUGCAGCUCGGCACAGAACAACGGGUCACACCGGCAUCGCUGGAAACAGGAACGCAACAG
rnacentral:lncRNA from 1 species